rnacentral:rRNA from 1 species
CCUACGGGGCGCAGCAGUGAGGAAUAUUGGUCAAUGGACGAGAGUCUGAACCAGCCAAGUAGCGUGAAGGAUGACUGCCCUAUGGGUUGUAAACUUCUUUUAUAUGGGAAUAAAAUGUUCCACGUGUGGGAUUUUGUAUGUACCAUAUGAAUAAGGAUCGGCUAACUCCGUGCCAGCAGCCGCGGUAAUAAGGAGGAUCCGAGCGUUAUCCGGAUUUAUUGGGUUUAAAGGGAGCGUAGGUGGAUUGUUAAGUCAGUUGUGAAAGUUUGCGGCUCAACCGUAAAAUUGCAGUUGAAACUGGCAGUCUUGAGUACAGUAGAGGUGGGCGGAAUUCGUGGUGUAGCGGUGAAAUGCUUAGAUAUCACGAAGAACUCCGAUUGCGAAGGCAGUUCACUGGACUGCAACUGACACUGAGGCUCGAAAGUGUGGGUAUCAAACAGGAUUAGAUACCCCAGUAGUC